CCUACGGGAGGCAGCAGUGAGGAAUAUUGGUCAAUGGCCGGAAGGCUGAACCAGCCAUGCCGCGUGAAGGUCAGUGCCCUAUGGGCGUUAAACUUCUUUUGUGCGGGAGCAAUAAUGGUCACGUGUGGCCAGACGAGAGUACCGUACGAAUAAGCAUCGGCUAACUCCGUGCCAGCAGCCGCGGUAAUACGGGGGAUGCAAGCGUUAUCCGGAUUUAUUGGGUUUAAAGGGUGCGUAGGCUGGGAGGUAGGUCAGCGGUGAAAUGCCCCCGCUCAACGGGGUGAAGUGCCAUUGAUACUGCCUGGCUGGAAUGCGGGUGCCGGGAGAGGAAUGUGUGGUGUAGCGGUGAAAUGCAUAGAUAUCACACAGAACACCGAUUGCGAAGGCAUCUCACGAAUCCGCGAUUGACGCUGAUGCACGAAAGCGUGGGUAUCAAACAGGAUUAGAUACCCUUGUAGUC
rnacentral:rRNA from 1 species